rnacentral:rRNA from 1 species
GAGUUUGAUCGUGGCUCAGAUUGAACGCUGGCGGCAUGCCUUACACAUGCAAGUCGAACGGCAGCAUGAUCUAGCUUGCUAGAUUGAUGGCGAGUGGCGAACGGGUGAGUAAUACAUCGGAACGUGCCCUGUAGUGGGGGAUAACUAGUCGAAAGAUUAGCUAAUACCGCAUACGACCUGAGGGUGAAAGUGGGGGACCGCAAGGCCUCAUGCUAUAGGAGCGGCCGAUGUCUGAUUAGCUAGUUGGUGGGGUAAAGGCCCACCAAGGCGACGAUCAGUAGCUGGUCUGAGAGGACGAUCAGCCACACUGGGACUGAGACACGGCCCAGACUCCUACGGGAGGCAGCAGCGGGGAAUUUUGGACAAUGGGCGAAAGCCUGAUCCAGCAAUGCCGCGUGUGUGAAGAAGGCCUCGGUU